GGUAACGCGUGGGUAACCUGCCUUACACAGGGGGAUAAACACCUGGAAACAGGUGCUAAUACCGCAUAAGCGCACAGGGCCGCAUGGCCCGGUGUGAAAAACUCCGGUGGUGUAAGAUGGACCCGCGUCUGAUUAGCUUGUUGGCGGGGUAGGGGCCCACCAAGGCGACGAUCAGUAGCCGGCCUGAGAGGGUGGACGGCCACAUUGGGACUGAGACACGGCCCAAACUCCUACGGGAGGCAGCAG
rnacentral:rRNA from 1 species